rnacentral:lncRNA from 1 species
AUAUCCAGCUCUCCACACUAGAGAGCUACCUCAUUCAAGAACAAGGGAAAACAAAUCGAAGCAGACGCAGUAUAUAUCUCGAAAACAAACUUAUGAUUAAUUGCAUAUGUUGAGGCUCCUAUCAAUUGAUCCAGCAAAGAGAGAAAAAGAGACUGCGUUCGAUGAUCGAUCGUGUGGGGAAGGCCAGUUGUGCCUACACCAACCAGUCAACCACAAAAAAAAAAUGAGAAUGCAGAACAUCAUGCAAAAGUAGCUGCAGCUGGCUCUUCCUGAAACAUCGUCCCUUUGCUCUGCAUCUCUCUCACAGUCUCUCACUCACACGCACGGCCCCCUUCAGUCAAACCAAACACAACAAAAAGGAGAUUGGUUUCUCACAAAGUACCAAAGUACAUACAUACAUUCGUGUGCAGUGCAGCAGCUUGAGAUAGAAAGAGAGAAGGUUGACCAGGCGUCUUGGGGAUGAGCUAACUGCCAACUUCUGCUCUCUCUAAUAUUCAUUCACACCCUCUACAAUGCUUCCAUUUCUUUAUCAUCUUCAUGCCUUCCACCAUGCCCAAUUUCUUUCUUAAUUACCAUUUCCCCCCACACGUGCGUGUGCUUCCCUCUAAUAUAUAUACUACACACAGAAAAUUCCAAUUACCAUAUAACAAUUAUUCAUCUUCCUCAUUUCUUUUCUCUGACAAAUAUAAUCAGAUCAUCUCCUUUUUUUUCCUCCAUUGUUUUUGGGUUUGUUAUACAACACCAAGAGCAGCUUCAAAGGUUGCAUCUUUCUUUUUUUAUAUAUAUAAAAAGGAAAUUUAAAGAUGGGUAGGAUACCUUGUUGUGAGAAGGACAAUGUGAAAAGAGGGCAAUGGACUCCUGAGGAAGACAACAAACUCUCUUCCUACAUUUCCCAACAUGGCACCCGCAACUGGCGCCUCAUCCCCAAGAAUGCUGGUCUCUCUCUCUCCCUCUCUUUUCCUUCCUUCAUUCAUUGAUUAAUGCAUGAUCACAUUAUUACUUUCAAGCCUGUAAUUGACUUGGUGCGCAUGCCUCGCCUAUACCUCGCAAUGCAGGCCUCCAACGAUGCGGCAAGAGCUGCAGACUCCGCUGGACCAACUACCUCCGUCCAGACCUCAUGCGUGGCAAGUUCUCCGAGCCCGAGGAGCAGACCAUUGUCAAGCUCCACUCCGUCGUUGGCAAUAGGUAUAUAACCCAGAAGCUACAUUAUAUUGGUUUCAAUUUGUUUCAUUCUCCUUCACCAUUUUACUACCAAGCUGUAACUAAUUACAGUUCUGAUCUCGCGACUUGGGCAGAUGGUCGUUGAUUG